ACGGUUACAGAGCAAUGUAGUGUUUGGGAGAGCCCGUUUAACCUAAGCAAUAUAUAAGUGAGUUCAAGUCCUUCUUGAAGGGGGCCAUUUUCCCAUAGAGGGUGCUAGGCCCGUAGUAACCAUUUAUAUGUUUAGGUGGGUUUCUCCUUAGAGUCGGGUUGCUUGAGAGUGCAGCUCUAAGUGGGUGGUAAACUCCAUCUAAGGCUAAAUAUGACUACGAAACCGAUAGCGAACAAGUACCGUGAGGGAAAGUUGAAAAGAACUUUGCAGAGAGAGUUCAAGAGUACGUGAAACUGUUCAGGGGUAAACCUGUAAUACCCAAAUAGUUCGAAAGAGGUGAUUCAAUUGUUUAUCCGUUUAUAACCAUUUUUCAGUAUAUAGACAUUUAUAAAUCAUUUACGAUUUUUAAUCGUAUUUGUUAUAUUAUAUAUGCUAUUCUGAUUAAUGUAUAGUUUAUAUUCGGUGGCAUGCACUUCAUCUCUAGUAGAGCGUCGUAACUCAUUAGAUUGUAGUAUGGUGUUUAAGGUUCACAAUGGAGACCGUGGCGUCAUAUUAUUUUUUAUUAAAUAUUAUGUGCGACCCGGACUUGUGUUAUCCUGACACUCUAUCUGAUGGUAUAUAUAUGAAAAUGUAAAUCACUUUAUAAUAGUGAGUGUUAUUUAUUGCUAUAACAAAUAUURAUA
rnacentral:rRNA from 1 species